rnacentral:lncRNA from 1 species
CUAAUUAAAAUUGAUACGGCGACGCAAGCGGCGAGGGACCUGAUCCAGCGGGGAAGCACCGCGGCGGGGACACCUCCGACGUCGGCCACGAGGAGGGACAACAGAAGAAAAGACGGGCGGAAGAUCGCCGCCAGACCAUUCUUCAAAAAUGGAUUCCCUAGCAGCAACAGCAACACUCUGCCGCUCAACAAUGAGCUGGCGCAGAGAAGGAAGAUCCAAGGUUGACGACUGAGGAUCCAAAAUAUUCAAA